UCACAAUCACUAUCACAGAUCCAAAGCAUUCAGCUCAGCUCCCCUUAGCUCCUAGUGGCUGAGGAGAACAAAAGCAUCAGUGCAGCAUCUCAACAAGUUUUGCUGUAUUGCUGCCACACAAUACAGAUGUUUUGGUAGCAAAUGCAGCCUCCAUCCAAGGAUGUGCCUUUUGAAGAGGAGAGCAGCAGAAAUGCUUUCACCCAGAGAUGCAAACAAGCCUUGAGAGAGGCAGACAAGAUUUACCCAGGAAGCAAUAGGAGCCCUUGAGCCCCGAUGCCAAUAAUCCUCAUCUGGAGUCAGUCCCGUUGGCUCCAGCCACUGCUGAGCUUGCUGGUGGAGAAAACCACUGCAUUGGAUCAAAUCAAUGUUAAAGGAAACUUCACAGAAGUCAAUAGCUAGUGGUCAAGAAGAGUUGCCAGACUCUUGCUUUCUCAGUAACUAAUAAAAGUGCUUUUUAACACAAUUAAUGUGAUGUCUUGCUGAAGACUGAAGGAAAUCGGAAUUGAAACAUUUCUAUUUUGACAGACUCAGUGGAAAACUUCUGUUCAGACUGGUAGGAAUGAGACCAAUAAAUUUCUGUAAAAACUUUCUGAAUUCAGCCUUCAAGAUAAUAGAUAGGCUGUUCUGACUGUGGAUAAAUAAACUCUGUUUUAGUAAGCGUUUAAAGACUUUCAGGAUGACGAAGUGGAACAUACUUCAAGUCUCCAAAGAUGGGAAGUGGCUUCUGAGUCAAAUACCAAUCCAUGCCAGGGCUCAUAUUUUAGACUGAGGUCACUCUUUUGUGACUUGUUGACAGUGGUUUUUUUUGUUGUUGUUUUGCUGUUGUUGUUGUUUUUGUGUUUUGAAGGAAAAAAGAAGAAAGAAAAAAGAAAAAGAAAACAUCACAGGCUGAAAAUAACAGUAAAACACUCCGCAGCUGCAAACCUGCUCUUAAAAAAAGCUUCCCAGGGGACAUAAAGCUUCAGCUACAGCCCAGAAAACCAGCUCAUCAAGCAACUAGUGAGGUGGAAAACCCUAUCUUGGGUGACAACAGGCCCACCUGUUGCUCAUUUCUGUCAAGGCACCAGAAAACGCCAGGAAAUCUUUGUUCCCACCAGCAAGUACUCAAAGGGCAGCCUCAAGGUGGGAGCAUCUCUCUGCCUUCCCAUUUUGUGAAGACCAUCUCAACUUGCAGCUCUUGCCUGCUCAGGCCAUCCCAAAAGCAGGUGGUGGAAAGGCUGGAUCAGUACCUUCUGGAAAAGCAAGGCAGGUCUCCC
ensembl:lncRNA